UACGUAGGUGGCAAGCGUUAUCCGGAUUUAUUGGGCGUAAAGGGUGCGCAGGCGGAUUUUUAAGUCAGCGGUCAAAUCGUGGGGCUCAACCCCAUCCAGCCGUUGAAACUGGGGAUCUAGAGUGUGCGAGAAGUAUGCGGAAUGCGUGGUGUAGCGGUGAAAUGCAUAGAUAUCACGCAGAACUCCGAUUGCGAAGGCAGCGUACCGGCGCCACACUGACGCUGAGGCACGAAAGCGUGGGGAUCGAACAGG
rnacentral:rRNA from 1 species